rnacentral:rRNA from 1 species
UAACACCAGCGCCACGAGUGGGGACCGUUAUUACUGGGCCUAAAGCAUCCGUAGCCGGAUUAGUAAAUCCUUUGUGAAAUUAUAGGGCUUAACCUUAUAGCGUGCAGAGAAGACUGCUAAUCUUGAGACCGGGAGGAGUUAGAGGUAUGCGAGGGGUAGCGGUAAAAUGCUAUAAUCCCUUGUGGACCACCUGUGGCGAAGGCGUCUAACUAGAACGGGUCUGACGGUGAGGGAUGAAAGCUGGGGGAGCGAUCCGGAUUAGAUACCCGAGUAGUCCCAGCUGUAAACUCUGCGAGCCAGGUGUUGCACAUUCUACGGGAAUGUGCAGUGUCGAAGCGAAGGCGAUAAGCUCGCCGCCUGGGUAGUACGGUCGCAAGACUG